UACAGGGGGUGCAAACGUUGCUCGGAAUUAUUGGGCGUAAAGCGCACGUAGGCGGUUCGUUAUGUCAGAUGUGAAAGCCCUUGGCUCAACUGAGGAAGUGCAUCUGAAACUGGCGAGCUAGAGUAUGUAAGAGGGUCGCGGAAUUCCCGGUGUAGAGGUGAAAUUCGUAGAUAUCGGGAGGAACACCGGUGGCGAAGGCGGCGACCUGGGACAAUACUGACGCUGAGGUGCGAAAGCGUGGGGAGCAAACGGG
rnacentral:rRNA from 1 species